CUCUGUGCAAAGGCAGAGGCUGUGGGAGCAGCAUCAAGCAAGACUUCGGGCAGUGAUUCUAACUAUUGCCUAUGAACACCGUGGCUGGGACGACUUUGACGAGGCAAUUUAUUACUUACGCAUAGAACACUGGCUGUGCUGAAACUGGGAGCGCAAACAGCCCCUUGUUUUCUAAUUUAGAGACUUGCAUCUUUUCGACACUCAACAGUAUCAAGACACUCUGCUACUACAGAUUGAUUUCCACCAUCAACACCUUUACCUCUUCCCGCCUGAAAAUAAAAUAUGAAAUAUAACAAGUAAAUCGCAAUCUACCUUGCACAGAAUCUUCUGGAGAGGAAAGAAGAAACCAUGUCUAGACAAGGUGCUGGAAAGACCCAGGGAAGACACAGGGAAAUCAUCUUUCGGGAAUUUAUCUAAGAAGAACUUCUUAUGAUAUAUGAAGUCUGGGGGUAAGACCUGCAGUAAUUUCCCUUAAGAUACUACAGAAUUUCCAAGGACUUGAGGAAUAAUUGCACUCUUGAAAGAGCCUAUGAAAAAAGAAGAGACUUGGGAAAUUUAACAGAAGUUCACUUUCCACCACUGCGCAAACUAAGGAAAAACUUAAAGCAGUAAAUAGCUGCGGUUGGCAAAGCUGUUUUGGCUCAGGAGCAGCUAUCAGGCCUUGAUAAGGUCCACAAGUCUGCUGUUCUAAAAUCAAAAAAAAAAAAAAAAA
rnacentral:lncRNA from 10 species